rnacentral:rRNA from 1 species
AUUGAACGCUGGCGGCAGGCCUAACACAUGCAAGUCGAACGAGUGGCGGACGGGUGAGUAAUGUCUGGGAAACUGCCUGAUGGAGGGGGAUAACUACUGGAAACGGUAGCUAAUACCGCAUACCAUCGGAUGUGCCCAGAUGGGUUUAGCUAGUAGGUGGGGUAACGGCUCACCUAGGCGACGAUCCAUAGCUGGUCUGAGAGGAUGACCAGCCCCACAGGAACUGAGACACGGUCCAGACUCCCACGAGAGGUAGCAGGGGGAAAUAUUGCACAAUGGGCGCAAGCCUGAGGCAGCCAUGCCGCGGGUAUGAAGAAGGCCUUCGGGUUGUAAAGUACUUUCAGCGGGGAGGCGUUACGCGCAGAAGAAGCACCGGCUAACUCCGUGCCAGCCGCCGCGGUAAUUC